rnacentral:rRNA from 1 species
UACACUCCUACGGGAGGCAGCAGUGGGGAAUUUUGGACAAUGGGCGAAAGCCUGAUCCAGCAAUGCCGCGUGAGUGAAGAAGGCCUUCGGGUUGUAAAGCUCUUUUGUCAGGGAAGAAACGGUGAAAGCUAAUAUCUUUUGCUAAUGACGGUACCUGAAGAAUAAGCACCGGCUAACUACGUGCCAGCAGCCGCGGUAAUACGUAGGGUGCAAGCGUUAAUCGGAAUUACUGGGCGUAAAGCGUGCGCAGGCGGUUUUGUAAGUCUGAUGUGAAAUCCCCGGGCUCAACCUGGGAAUUGCAUUGGAGACUGCAAGGCUAGAAUCUGGCAGAGGGGGGUAGAAUUCCACGUGUAGCAGUGAAAUGCGUAGAUAUGUGGAGGAACACCGAUGGCGAAGGCAGCCCCCUGGGUCAAGAUUGACGCUCAUGCACGAAAGCGUGGGGAGCAAACAGGAUUAGAAACCCCUGUAGUCCCAUGAU